rnacentral:rRNA from 1 species
GAUGAACGCAGCUAUAGGCUUAACACAUGCAAGUCGAGGGAACGGCAUUAUGUGCUUGCACAUUUUGGACGUCGCCGGCGGACGGGUGAGUAUCGCGUAUCCAACCUUCCCUCCACUCGGGGAUACCCCGUUGAAAGACGGCUUAAUACCCGAUGUUGUCCACAUAUGGCAUCUGACGUGGCCAAAGAUUCAUCGGUGGAGGAUGGGAUGCGUCUGAUUAGCUUGUUGGUGCGGGUAACGGCCCACCAAGGCUACGAUCAGUAGGGGUUCUGAGAGGAAGGUCCCCCACAUUGGAACUGAGACACGGUCCAAACUCCUACGGGAGCAGCAGUGAGGAAUAUUGGUCAAUGGACGUAAGUCUGACCAGCCAAGUAGCGUGCAGGAUUGACGGCCCUAUGGGUUGUAAACUGCUUUUGUUGGGGAGUAAAGUGGG